GAUCCCUCCCCCACCCCUCCUGUCCACUCCCGCAGCCGAAGCCCCUCCCUCACCGUCGACGACCCACGCCGCCGCCGCACACUACCGCGCCCUCCCCUCACCCUGGCCCAAUUCAAUCCAACCCCGCGCGCACACCACUGCAGCCGCCGUCGACCCCUUCCUCCCUCCCCUCCCUCACAGCCAUGGCAUUCGCGCUCCCCCGCCCUCGCCACUGCCUCCUCGGCGGUGUUCCCCUCCUUCUCAGCCGCCUUCGCGGCGCCGAGGGCCGGCGCCACCGCGGCUAGGAGAGUCUCGCUCCACGGGGCCGUACCCGCGACCUGCUACCCCGCGCCCGCGCCAACUCCGGCGCUGCUCCACCCUCGCCCGUCCCACCCGCCGCUCCCGACCCGGCGGCGGCGCCGAGGCCGUCCCCGCCCACCAUGACUUGGAUGCCAAGUGGGACGCCUGCCUCGACCUCUCCAUCCGUCGCAUUGCCUACGCCCCUCGCCGGCUUCGGGGGCCUCAUCCUCUUCUGAUGGUGGUCGGGUGUCAACAAGGAAUGGAAAUUGAUGGAGAUCCCUACGUGUGCGUCGUUGGUAUACCAUGCAUGCUGGUAGCAGAUUGAUCAAGACGUCAACAACAAGAAAAUACUAUUCGUGUCAUGCACAAGUGCACCACAAAGAAGAGCACCGGUCCGUCUACUUCUUGCUGCUCCGACCCAAGUGCUGGCUGGCACCAUGGAAGCUCCAGAAGGACCAACAUUACCAUCAAGUACGCCAUCGAGGUGAAUGGAGCUUGUGUUGUUGGUAGAACUCUGUUGAUGACUUCUUCCUAUGUUGAAGAGCAUGUUCUGUGGUAUCCAAGAGUAGCGGUUUAUUUGUAGAUCCCAAUAUUUAUGAUUGUGUGGAUCUGGGUGAAGUUUCUAGUUCCUGGGUAUGCAAGAUUCGAUGGUGAAACUGGUUGAUGUGAUGCGAAUGAGUGUAUGGAAAUUGGUUGUUGUGAUGUGAAUGAGUGUAUGGAGUUUCACGUGUUCUGUUCUGUAUAGCAUAUUGUAAUAAACUUAUUUUAGCUGUUAUUUGAAGAUUUUCAUA